CGUGGCAGCGACUUUGCAUGCGGAUGUCAUCCAUAUCAACUUUCGAUGCCAGUUUCUGCACCUACCAUGGUGACCAUCAGGAUUCCAUUCCGUACAGGAACCCUGAGAAACAGUUACCACAUGCAAGGAAGGCAGCAGGCGCGCAAAUGACCCACUCCCGACGCGGGAAGGUAUUGAUG